rnacentral:lncRNA from 1 species
ACUUCUUAAAAACAAACCUUCUGGAAUGUUAUCCUUAAGAGUCUGACUAAAUAUUUGCUCUCAGAUAAAAUGAUGAAUAAAUACUAAAAAGUUAUUUCAAUGCUUGAUAUUCCCUACAGUAAACUAGAUGGCAUGACUGAUAAAGCCAUGUGGGAAUCUCCAGAUUUGAGCUCAUGCAAAAGGAUUGUGGUCGACAUCACUGACUUGGACAAGGUCAAUGUCACAGCAAAUAAUUCCGGUGAGGUAGUGGAGAUGAUCGGUAGUCUGGUCAGUAACCAAACAGACCUCAGUCAUUCUGAGGUGGACACUGUGCUGAACAAACUGGAGGAUGUGGUGGCCGUCAGCCCUGUCUCCCCGGCGUUGGGAGACAAGAUCAUGGACAUCAUCUCAGACCUCCUUAACUCCAAAGCUGAUCUGGCCUCGUUCACCAACAAGUGAGACUGCAUGCCUAUAUGACCGUCCUAACC